rnacentral:lncRNA from 1 species
CUCUUCCCUCUCGCUGCCGCGUUGCACUCAUGACCGUUUGAACGAGAAACCCAAAAAUCAUCAAUUUCAUCUCCUUCUCCAAACCAACACAACCAUACCUUCCAUCAGUCUUAAUCCGCACCCGAACCCUCGAACCCAGUUUGGGUUCGACAUUCCCGGCGACUUUCAUAAGUUUUCCGGUGGCGGCCGGCCCUGCAACCACAUCUAUUCGACUCAGGGGAGUCCCAACACAACAUUCGAGUUUUGCAUGCUCGAAUCUGCCCCUAGACAGAGGAGUUCCAUAAACCCAGCUCGCGGUGGGGUUUUCCGACGAAGAUCUGAGUUUUCCCCGACCGGUUUCAGGCCUUUCCGACCUUUUUUGGGUCCGGCGAAGGUGAUAUUCUUACUCUACACCCUCAAAUUAGCUUAGGUUGUGAAUUUGGUGUGCGAUGGUUGAGUUUUAAAGCUAAUCGGAAUCUCUGUGUUUUCCGGCCAAUUAGCACUCCCUGGGUAUGGCCACAUUCUGCAGAUCGAUUAAUGUGGUGGUUAAGUGCUGAAACGAUUCUGUUGCACUGAUUUUAUCUGUCGUAAAGCGCAAGAUAAUGGGGUUAAUCCUUAAAAUGGAGAAGGAAACAGGAGCUUAAUAAUUUAGAAUUCUGAAAGGCGAGAUGUUGCAGUUGGGUAAAAUCCUAGACAUAUAUAGACAUGUGUUUAUAAAAGUUAUGAUGAGAUCCUCAAAAAUAUCUGGCUGGAGGCCGUGUAUUUGUAGCAUGGGAGUCUGAUUGCUGCAUUGCAUGGAUAUGUGCAUUUCUUGAGUUUUUGUUUUUUUGUGUGUUGGAUUAGAUAUUGUUGUUAUGUUUAAGAAUUUGAAUCUGUUCAUAGUUAUUGAUUUCGUAUUAUUAUUAGCACGAUGCAUGAAUUGUGGUUAUUUAAAUUUUCUGACGGUUUGGAAAUGAUAAUUUGUUCGGAAACUUUUUUUAUUCUGGUUGGACAAAGUUAGUUGAUUAUCUGCAAAUUUCAUGAGGUUUUCAGUAGGACUGUUUACCAAGACUUUUGCAUGUAAAUAGUAUGUACAUGUACAUACACAUUAAGUAAUUUUACUUUUCCAGUAAUAUUAUUUUUCCAAUCCCGCAACAUUGUGUGGGCAAUGAUUGUUAGUUUUUAUCAUGGUCUAAAAUAUCUAUAAUAUACUGAUAUUUUCAUCGAAAUUUUUAUAUUUUUGGACUACCGAUAUUUUCGAUAUCAUCGAUAUUUUAGACAUUACUAAGUUACUCAUGUAUCUUGCCAUGCAACGUAUAAAGUGUAAAAUAUUGUACUAAUUCAUUAUAUAUAAAUGAUUAUGGUGUGUUUAAACUUCUUUCAUUAAUUACUACAUAUUUUCUACACUCACAAUGUUUGCCAGCUCGUUAUAUAAUCAACUUAAAUCAAUUAUAUCUAUCAUGCAAUGCAUUUCCUUCUAAUUUUUUGUGAUAAACUAAUAGAUAAUUGACUAAAUAAACAUCCUGCAAAGUUUCAAUAAAAAUUUCCAAGUUUUCCUUACAAUUUCCGUGGUUUUUAUUCAAUUUUUAUCGAUAUCGAUAAUAUCCCGAUAUUUCUAUUAAAAUUUCCGUGUUUUUAAACUACCGAUAUUUCCGAUAUGAUCGAUAUUUUAUAUAUAAAACUCCACCCCCGUUUUUUAGAAUUGUUUUAUGGGAUUGGUUGGUGAGCCACGUGGGGACCACUUUGUAUUUGUGUCCCCCGGCCUCUCUCCUCUCUGCUCUCCC